AUGAUGACCCGUCGCCAGGAGGCCUACUACCGCUACCCAACCACGUCGACCAUCGUCGCGUCGGCGCCAAUGCCCACCGGCCACCACGUCCUCCGGAUCGACGGCUACUCCCUCACCAAGGCCAGGUUCGCCGCCGGCGAAGAAUGCGACGAGUCGUGCAGCUUCGUCGUCGGCGGCCACGCCUGGCGCAUCAGGUACUACCCCAACGGCGCCGUCGUCUCCGGCUCCGGUGACUUCGUAUCCCUCAUGCUCUCCCUUGAUCAUCAGCCCGGCGCCGCAUUGCCGGCCGCCGUCGUCAAGGCGAAAUUCGUGUUCAGCUUGCUCGACAUGGACGGCGAGCCGGUGCCGUCGCGCACCUACGCGAGCGACGGCGUGGUCAGCUUCAGCGCUAAUUCGUCGAGCACGUUCGGGGCGGAGAGGUUCAUCGGCCACGGCGAGCUCGAGGCGUCGGGGCACCUCGCCGGCGACCGCCUCGCCGUCCGGUGCGACGUCACCGUCGUGAAGGACAUCGCCGUCGUGAAGCGCGACGGGCCUCCGACGACGUCGACCCUCUGCCCGGUGGAGCAGGACAUGUUCAGAUGCCUGCUCGACACCGGGGACGACGCGGACGUCGCGUUCAGGGCCGCCGGCGGCGAGACGAUCGCCGCGCAUAGGCGGGUGCUCGAGCGACGGGCGCCGGAGCUAGCCAAGCUCUGUCGUCGUCGCGGCGACGCCUCCUGCUUCAUGAGACUCGUCGGGAGGCACAUCAUCGACGUCGACGGCGACAUGGACGCCGCUGCGUUCAAGGCUCUGCUUCACUUCGUGUACACCGACACGCUGCCGGAGACGAUGGCCCCGCGAGAGGUGCCGGCCAUGGCGCCGCAGCUGAUCGCGGCGGCGCGUAAAUACGGCUUGGACUGGGAGAGGUUGAGGCUCCUCUGUGAGGACAAGGCGUGGGGAUGGCGCGUCGACGACACGAGCAUGGACACGACGGCGGCGGCUGCUCCGGCUACCGGCGAUGAUCCGAAGCGUAGCCAGCGACGUCUUCCAUGUGUCGUGGCGACGUAUACUCAGGUUCUCUUCCUCGCUCGAAAGGGUGUUGCCAUGCGCGUGUUCGAGAGCGCUUCACCGGCCGUCACGACGACCGCCGCCUCGCCUUCAUCAAGGACGACGCCGAGCUGCGCGCCGGGCCGCCGCCCCAGCAGGGCGACCGCGAGGCGUGAAUCCGGCGGCCUGCGCCGCCGCCUUCUCUCCUUGCUGGACGGGACGGACGUCACCUUCAGGGUCGGCGGCGAGACGUUCGCCGCGCGCGCACAGCUCCGUGGUCGCCGGUGCUCGGGCCCCCCGUCGCCGCCGCCGCCGUCGUCUUCAACUCUGCAGUGGACGGCGUACGUGGACGCCGAUGUGUUCAAGGCUCUCCUGUACUUCAUGUACACGGGCACGUUGCCGCCGCGGCCGCCGGAGACGAUGCCCCCCUGCCCCGCCGCGCAAGACGACGACGGGGCGCCGCCGCCGGCGGCCGAUAGAUUCCACCUCGACAGGUUGGAGGCGAUGAGGUUGAGGCUCCUCUGCGAGGAGUUGUGGACUACUGGUGAAGAACAUGGUUCAAGAACAUGUUCCAUGGUUCAAGAACAUCUUCUGCAGUGUAGCCAGCCACGACGUCUUCCAGGGAAACUAUUCUAAUCUCUCGAGG
rnacentral:lncRNA from 1 species